rnacentral:rRNA from 1 species
CCGAAUGGGGAAACCCAGUGUGACUCGUCACACUAUCAUUAACUGAAUCCAUAGGUUAAUGAGGCGAACCGGGGGAACUGAAACAUCUAAGUACCCCGAGGAAAAGAAAUCAACCGAGAUUCCCCCAGUAGCGGCGAGCGAACGGGGAGGAGCCCAGAGCCUGAAUCAGCAUGUGUGUUAGUGGAAGCGUCUGGAAAGGCGCGCGAUACAGGGUGACAGCCCCGUACACAAAAGCGCAUGUGCUGUGAGCUCGAUGAGUAGGGCGGGACACGUGGUAUCCUGUCUGAAUAUGGGGGGACCAUCCUCCAAGGCUAAAUACUCCUGACUGACCGAUAGUGAACCAGUACCGUGAGGGAAAGGCGAAAAGAACCCCGGCGAGGGGAGUGAAAAAGAACCUGAAACCGU